rnacentral:rRNA from 1 species
AGAGUUUGAUCAUGGCUCAGGACGAACGCUGCGGGCGUGCUUAACACAUGCAAGUCGAACGGAAAGGCCCUUCGGGGUACUCGAGUGGCGAACGGGUGAGUAACACGUGGGUGAUCUGCCCUGCACUUUUGGGAUAAGCCUGGGAAACUGGGUCUAAUACCGAAUAUGACCAUGCACUUCCUGGUGUGUGGUGGAAAGCUUUUGCGGUGUGGGAUGGGCCCGCGGCCUAUCAGCUUGUUGGUGGGGUAAUGGCCUACCAAGGCGACGACGGGUAGCCGGCCUGAGAGGGUGACCGGCCACACUGGGACUGAGAUACGGCCCAGACUCCUACGGGAGGCAGCAGUGGGGAAUAUUGCACAAUGGGCGCAAGCCUGAUGCAGCGACGCCGCGUGAGGGAUGACGGCCUUCGGGUUGUAAACCUCUUUCAGCACAGACGAAGCGCAAGUGACGGUAUGUGCAGAAGAAGGACCGGCCAACUACGUGCCAGCAGCCGCGGUAAUACGUAGGGUCCGAGCGUUGUCCGGAAUUACUGGGCGUAAAGAGCUCGUAGGUGGUUUGUCGCGUUGUUCGUGAAAACUCACAGCUUAACUGUGGGCGUGCGGGCGAUACGGGCAGACUUGAGUACUGCAGGGGAGACUGGAAUUCCUGGUGUAGCGGUGGAAUGCGCAGAUAUCAGGAGGAACACCGGUGGCGAAGGCGGGUCUCUGGGCAGUAACUGACGCUGAGGAGCGAAAGCGUGGGGAGCGAACAGGAUUAGAUACCCUGGUAGUCC